AAAGGGUGCGUAGGCGGCCUGUUAAGUCAGGGGUGAAAGACGGUAGCUCAACUAUCGCAGUGCCCUUGAUACUGAUGGGCUUGAAUUGACUAGAGGUAGGCGGAAUGUGACAAGUAGCGGUGAAAUGCAUAGAUAUGUCACAGAACACCGAUUGCGAAGGCAGCUUACUAUGGUCUUAUUGACGCUGAGGCACGAAAGCGUGGGGAUCAAACAGGAUUAGAUACCCUAGU
rnacentral:rRNA from 1 species